rnacentral:rRNA from 1 species
CUCCCGGGAAGUCUUGGUGUUGCACCCC